AUGGUCCGCACUGAAUAUUCGGGAGAAGAUGAAGACUCGGCGGACUUGGAUGAUGAAUUUCUUGCAGUGGCAUCUCAAGUGCCGACUGAUUACAUGGAUGUAACUGUAGAAGCCCGUGAUGAAACAACCUUGGUGGGGGUGAAUAAUUUGAAUGGUUUACUAGCUGACAUGAACACAUGCAUCCGCUGGAUCGCAUGGAUUGGAGCCGUAAUGGUUGUCGGGAGCGCAAGGGAAGGAGAUACUGGCAAUGAAGACCCUCCAUUGAGCGGCACUAUCUUGCUGGGUUGGCAUGGUGUGCCAGGAGUUGACGAUGCUAGUCCAAAUAGAAGAGAACAACAUUCCAGACGACAGCGGACAGCCAGUCGACGUCCAUUGGAUGUUCAUGAAUCAUGCCGUCCUGGGCCUUCUUUCAAUCAUGACAACAGAGGUAACUAG
rnacentral:rRNA from 1 species